ensembl:lncRNA
GUCCCGGUUCAGACCAGCCGCGUCUGGAUAGUGGCUGGCAUACCAGACAGCCUUGGUCUAAGGAGUCUGAUUUUAUUUCUCCUCUCUGCUGGAUGAGGACCAGCACCACUCGCAUUGUCCAGGGAGGGGACUGAGGCUCAGAGCUGAUAGUGGCCUGUCACGGGAUCAGCAGCAACAGUGGUUUGGUCCUUGAACAGGGUCCUGUUUGAGCCCUGAUUUUGCCACUUCUGAUUUCUGUGACCUCUGGCAGGCUGUUUCAAGUCUCCUAGGCUCAAUUUCCCUACAACUGAAGUAAAAGAGAAAAAAUAACUCCUACUCUUAGAGUGCAAGGAUUAGAGAGCAUGUUUGCAAAGGACUCUCAAGUGGCUGGCACAUAGAAAACGGUCAAUAAAUGUUGGCGAUUCUGAUAGCAAUGGACCAGGCAGAACCUCUCCACUGGGGGCCCUGGUCUGCCCUCCUUUCUGGGGCGAUCCCUCAGUUAGUUCCCGGAGAACAUUCCAGAAGAAGAACAUUCAGUUCCCUCAGAAUCUCUAAGGAGCCCCUGGGUGGAGUCUGUGGCAUCAGGCGGUGCCGUCCUCGCCUCCAGGGGUUCCGGGCUCUCUGGGAGCUCUGCUGCACCGCACUCCAGGGCACCAGCUUUACCAGCCCCCUCUCGGCCUCCCCCCACCAUAAGGGAUCCAGGUCUCGCUGCGUGGCGCCCAGGAAUCCACACACAUUGAACAGGACUCCCUAGGCCUCAUACCCAGUCUUACAGUCCCGCGGCUAAACAUGGAAAACAAUGCCAGAUGCCCUCCUGAACCCAAACUCGGACUCUCCGGCCUUCCUUAAAUAACCCAGGAAACCCAGGCGCACAGGGCAGAGUCAGACGGCCACUGUUCCUGAGCCUUGUUUGUGGAGCAAAUGGAAAGACUCAUUUCAUGUUUUAUGACAUUUCAGAAUCGAUUUACAACUGCCUACUCCUUCUGAGUCUGGAUUUUCCUUUGAAAUAAAAAACACUGUAAUAAAAAAUAAUAGGAACAUUGAAUUGGAAAAAUGGUAAUGGUACAAAAAUAGUAUAAAAAUAAAAUAAAAUCAUACCAUUGUUCUUUAAGAUUCAUUCAAUAUUCACUUAAAAAAACAAUUAGAAUCCAGGCAAGGUUCUAGGCCCUGGACCACAGCAGUAAACUGAGC